rnacentral:rRNA from 1 species
CCUACGUGGCGCAGCAGUGAGGAAUAUUGGUCAAUGGCCGGAAGGCUGAACCAGCCAUGCCGCGUGAAGGUCAGUGCCCUAUGGGCGUUAAACUUCUUUUGUGCGGGAGCAAUAAUGGUCACGUGUGGCCAGACGAGAGUACCGUACGAAUAAGCAUAGGCUAACUCCGUGCCAGCAGCCGCGGUAAUACGGGGGAUGCAAGCGUUAUCCUGAUUUAUUGGGUUUAAAGGGUGCGUAGGCUGUGAGGUAAGUCAGCGGUGAAAUGCCCCCGCUCAACGGGGUGAAGUGCCAUUGAUACUGCCUUGCUGGAAUGCGGAUGCCGUGGGAGGAAUGUGUGGUGUAGCGGUGAAAGGCAUAGAUAUCACACAGAACACCGAUUGCGAAGGCAUCUCACGAAUCCGCGAUUGACGCUGAUGCACGAAAGUGUGGGUAUCAAACAGGAUUAGAUACCCGAGUAGUC